rnacentral:rRNA from 1 species
GACGAACGCUGGCGGCGUGCUUAACACAUGCAAGUCGAACGGAAAGGCCCCUUUGGGGGUACUCGAGUGGCGAACGGGUGAGUAACACGUGAGUAACCUGCCCUUGACUUCGGGAUAACUUCAGGAAACUGGGGCUAAUACCGGAUAGGAAUCCUUGCUGCAUGGUGGGGGUUGGAAAGCUUCGGCGGUUUUGGAUGGCUUCGCGGCUUAUCAGCUUGUUGGUGGGGUAGUGGCUUACCAAGGCUUUGACGGGUAGCCGGCCUGAGAGGGCGACCGGCCACAUUGGGACUGAGAUACGGCCCAGACUCCUACGGGAGGCAGCAGUGGGGAAUAUUGCACAAUGGGCGGAAGCCUGAUGCAGCAACGCCGCGUGCGGGAUGACGGCCUUCGGGUUGUAAACCGCUUUCAGCAGGGGCGAAGCUUGUGGUGACGGUACCUGCAGAAGAAGCACCGGCUAACUACGUG